AGUUGAAAUAGAUAAGUCUUGAGUCAAUCAGUACAUCUGUACCACAUUCAUGUGGCAAAUGCUGCUUUAUGGAGAUGUUUCUAAUACUGACCUACAAUAAUUCAGCCAAGAUCACGUUUCUACUGUCUUCAGGAAAUGAGAAAAAUGAAUCCAGGAAAUUUCCAUCUUUAACUAUACUCUGUAAAUGUGCUGUCCAAUACACAGAUAGCUACUGAGCACUGGAAUAUAGCUAGUCUGAAUGGAGAUGUUCUAAGGACGUGUUUGCUUCCCCUUCUGCCGUGACUGUAAGUUUCCUGAGGCCUCCCCAGCCCUGCAGAACUGAAAAGUGUUGUCAUUUGAACGUCAAGGGUUUCUCAGACCACCAGAAAAGAUUAUCUCCUUUUGAUAUCUCUGCUUAGAGGAAUACAGAAUGUGGCCACAUGUUACUCUUCUACCAAUGUCAGGAUAAAGCAUGCAUUAGGAUCCCUCAGUGGAGAACUAUGUCCAUUCCAUGCUCCUUCCAACUAGUUUGAGAAAUGGCUCCAAAUUUUCCUUAAUAUUAUUCUGAAUUGCUCUAUGAAGUAAAUGUCAGGCAUUUUAUUUCCAUUUCCCUAAAAUAGAGAAUGGGUUGCUAGGGAAAAUGCCUAAGCCAGCCAUAAAGCAUUUCCAAAGGGAGGACAUAGUGAAUAAAAAAUGUUAAUUCCUGUCUUGUUUAACAAGCUCUCAUGGCAGCUCCAAGGGGUAGUAAAAUUUAUACUCCUACCAGGACAGCUCUAGACUAUGGCAUCAGCAUGGGAUGGAAAGUAGCCCUGGGAAACAGAAUAGUGUGGUUGCCUGCUACCCUUUACUUAUCUGAAUAGUUUGUCUCUGCUGUGCCCAGGAGGUUUGCACCUCAUGGGGUGGGAGGUGGUGCAAUCAGGUAAGAAUGCUCUUUACUUACUCCUUUGUCGGAAAAAGGAUGACUGUAAUGUGUGGGCUGGAGUGGAGUGGAACUGAGUUUAAAAUCUGCAGUAACAUAAAAUUAAAGACUAGGUAUUAACAAUGGCUUUGCACUCUGAGUUGCCAUGGGCUGAGAGGGACAGCUGGACAGCCAGAGGGAUUCCAGAGGGACUUGGCAGGACAGAGCAGUGUAAGCCAUCUUACUGCCUCGAAAAACACAGGUAGGAGCACAUCAGACUUCAGUAACACAGGAUUUAUCUCAGUAUCCAUUUUUUCUGAUUCUCAGUUUUCUUAUCCAUAAAAUAGAUUAAAUAAUA
rnacentral:lncRNA from 1 species